ACUUCCUGAAAGAUUAAAUGGCCACAAGCACUCCCACGGAUCCUCUGCAGUAUUCUUUGUUAAGGUCAAGGUUUUGUGCUUUCUUUACAAAUAGGACCAUGUUUCUGUAUUUCUUUCAGAAAUGUGACAUCCGUCAGAAGUUCUGCAGCCGUCAACGGAAAAGAUAUCCAUGUGACCAGACGUCUACAAAUGGUGACACGUAAAGACACUGGAGAAAGAACCAGAGAGAUGGAUUUACCUCCUUGUGGAGGCUCUAUCGCUAUCGAUGCAUCUAUAGCUUCCACUGGAGGUUGCACUGAAGAAUGAGAAUGGAACUGCUGGAGUCGCCAUCUUGGACCACACGAUGGACACUUCUCAUUGAGAAUUGUGAUGUGCCAAGAUAAAGUGGAAUGUUCUGGGUGUUCUGAACACGAUGGAGCCACCAUACUAGUCCUAGAUGCCCAACAUGUGUAAGAGAAAUAUAUUUAGACCUUGUUUAAGUUUUGUUAUUUUGAGUUUUCUGGCACUGUAGCUAGCCUACUCUUGACUAAUACAUACAGAGGUUCUACAAAUACUAAGACUCGCAGAGGAGGAAAAUCAUUCUGCUGUUGGAAUGAUGUGGAACAGUAGCUAGAAAGCCCAUCUCAAUAUACUAGGAAGCGUUAGGGUCUAAUUUUACUUUGGAAACUGCUCAAAGGCAUCUCCUCCUGAAGGGAUUGCUUUAGGGUGAUGAGACUUCCUGGAGAGAACACAACAACUUAGUUUCUUGGAAGACUCAAGAUGGGGGCCCUUUCCCUCCCUUCACAAAGAGCCUGCAACUUCAGUCCAAUUCUGUAAGUCUCUUUUACAGAAUAUUCUCUUGGAUGGAAUUGGAAGCUCAGCUUCUAGAGGAGCUGAAGUUUAUACUAAUUUUUAUUGUAAAAAACCAUUAUUUUAAAAACAAAUGCUCAAAAGACUAGAGAAAAUAUUGGAUUCAGAUUCAUACAUCAAACUCAUAAUUUAUGUACUUUUCAGCCUUCUGCAAUCUAUAAAGUGGAAGUAAAUUUUACUUUUAUGAAAGAGAUUUGAUUGGACAUGACACUGUCUUAGGAAAUACUUUAAAAAUUGCAUUGAUA